rnacentral:rRNA from 1 species
GACGGAGGGUGCAAGCGUUGUUCGGAAUUACUGGGCGUAAAGGGCGCGUAGGCGGUCCUUCAAGUCGGGCGUGAAAGCCCCGGGCUCAACCUGGGAACCGCGCUUGAGACUGGCGGGCUAGAGUUCGGGAGAGGAUGGUGGAAUUCCCAGUGUAGAGGUGAAAUUCGUAGAUAUUGGGAAGAACACCGAUGGCGAAGGCAGCCAUCUGGACCGACACUGACGCUGAGGCGCGAAAGCGUGGGGAGCAAACAGG